AUUGAACGCUGGCGGCAGGCCUAACACAUGCAAGUCGAGCGAGCGGCGGGCGGGUGAGAAAUGUCUGGGAAACUGCGCGUUGGAGGGGGGUAAAUACUGGAAAAGGUAGCUAAUAUCGCAUACCAUACGAUGUGCCCCCAUGGGUUUAUCUCGUGGGUGGGGUAUCGGCUCACCUAGGGGACGCUGCCUCGCUGGUCUGAGAGGAUGACCAGCCACACUGGAACUGAGACACGGUCCAGACGCCUACGGGAGGAAGCAGUGGGGAAUAUUGCACAAUGGGCGCAAGCCUGAGGCAGCCAUGCCGCGUGUAUGAAGAAGGCCUUCGGGUUGUAAAGCACUUUCAGCGGGGAGGCGUUACCCGCAGAAGAAGCACCGGCUAACUCCGUGCCAGCCGCCGCGGUAAUAC
rnacentral:rRNA from 1 species